UACGGAGGGUGCAAGCGUUAUCCGGAUUUACUGGGUUUAAAGGGAGCGCAGGCGGGCUGGUAAGUCAGUGGUGAAAGCCUUGAGCUUAACUCGAGAACUGCCAUUGAUACUAUCAGUCUUGAAUAUUGUUGAGGUUUGCGGAAUGGGUCAUGUAGCGGUGAAAUGCAUAGAUAUGACCCGGAACACCUAUUGCGAAGGCAGCAGGCUAAACAAAGAUUGACGCUGAGGCUCGAAAGCGUGGGGAUCAAACAGG
rnacentral:rRNA from 1 species